CGGGUGUAGCUCAGUUGGUUAGAGCGCAGGAUUGUGGCUCCUGAGGUCAUCAGUUCAAAUCUGAUUAC
rnacentral:tRNA from 1 species